CCUACGGGUGGCUGCAGUGGGGAAUAUUGGACAAUGGGGGCAACCCUGACCCAGCCAUGCCGCGUGUGUGAAGAAGGCCCUCGGGUUGUAAAGCACUUUCAGUGAGGAAGAACGCCUGGUGGUUAAUACCCAUCAGGAAAGACAUCACUCACAGAAGAAGCACCGGCUAACUCCGUGCCAGCAGCCGCGGUAAUACGGAGGGUGCGAGCGUUAAUCGGAAUUACUGGGCGUAAAGCGCGCGUAGGUGGCUUGAUAAGCCGGUUGUGAAAGCCCCGGGCUCAACCUGGGAACGGCAUCCGGAACUGUCAAGCUAGAGUGCAGGAGAGGAAGGUAGAAUUCCCGGUGUAGCGGUGAAAUGCGUAGAGAUCGGGAGGAAUACCAGUGGCGAAGGCGGCCUUCUGGACUGACACUGACACUGAGGUGCGAAAGCGUGGGUAGCAAACAGGAUUAGAUACCCCAGUAGUC
rnacentral:rRNA from 1 species